rnacentral:tRNA from 1 species
GCGGGCAUAGCUCAGUUGGUAGAGCGCGAGCUUCCCAAGCUUGAGGUCGCGAGUUCGAGCCUCGUUGCCCGCU